UACGUAGGGUGCAAGCAUUAAUCGGAAUUACUGGGCGUAAAGCGUGCGCAGGCGGUUUUGUAAGUCUGUCGUGAAAUCCCCGGGCUCAACCUGGGAAUUGCGAUGGAGGCUGCAAGGCUAGAAUCUGGCAGAGGGGGGUAGAAUUCCACGUGUGAGCAGUGAAAUGCGUAGAGAUGUGGAGGAACACCGAUGGCGAAGGCAGCCCCCUGGGUCAAGAUUGACGCUCAUGCACGAAAGCGUGGGGAGCAAACAGG
rnacentral:rRNA from 1 species